rnacentral:rRNA from 1 species
UACAUGGGGUGCAAACGUUGUUCGGAAUUAUUGGGCGUAAAGAGCGCGUAGGCGGUUACUCAAGUCGGAUGUGAAAGCCCUCGGCUUAACUGAGGAAGUGCACCCGAAACUGAGUAGCUAGAGUACUAAAGAGGGUCGCGGAAUUCCCGGUGUAGAGGUGAAAUUCGUAGAUAUCGGGAGGAACACCGGUGGCGAAGGCGGCGACCUGGGUAGAUACUGACGCUGAGGUGCGAAAGCGUGGGGAGCAAACAGG